UAAAAAGCACACAAUCUCCACCUCCACCUUUGACCUGAAUAGAAGGAAAUUUCUGAAUGUAUUUCUCUAAUCUUCAUUCAGUAGAAUGGAAUAAGAAAGCUAACUCUGCAACCACACUGCUCAAGGAAGGAAUAAUCUACUGCUUGUAAAAAAUAUGCCAUUUAAGAUAGUAAUGCAUCUCCAUAAAAUAAACCAAAACUUAUAUUUGAAAACAAAAUUAACAAAUAAAGACAUUUAAGGGUGAGAAAGCAUUACAAAAAUUUCUAUUAUAUCAAAGUCAGUAAUGAAGAAAAAUAAUGUUCUCCAGCUUUGCUUCAUCAUUCAUAUCCUGCUCUCCUCCUCCAACACAACCCAAAAUUUCAGAAGGCAAAUCAAUCCCUUAGAGUCUAUGCUUCACUUUCAGCUAACCAAUUCUUCCCACUCAAUACUCACUUCUCUAAAAUCAUAUAGCUAGUCAUGAGUAUAUGCCAGAGUAAUGAGAAUCUGUCCUCCAUAACACA
rnacentral:lncRNA from 1 species